rnacentral:rRNA from 1 species
UACGAAGGGGGCGAGCGUUGUCCGGAUUUACUGGGCGUAAAGAGCGCGCAGGCGGUCGUUCAAGUCGCGUGUGAAAGCCCCCGGCCCAACUGGGGAGGGUCAUUCGAUACUGAUCGACUCGAAGGCAGGAGAGGGUAGUGGAAUUCCCGGUGUAGUGGUGAAAUGCGUAGAUAUCGGGAGGAACACCAGUGGCGAAGGCGACUACCUGGCCUGUUCUUGACGCUGAGGCGCGAAAGCGUGGGGAGCAAACAGG